AAAAGUUGAUGUUCCUCUAAGACCCAAGCUAUUCCUCCACAAUGCUGCCCUUAUUGCCCACACUCAUUGCAUUGGUUGCCUGUUCCUCAGGUGUGAUCUCAGAAGUGGUUCUCACUCAGUCAGAUUCAGUACUUAAAAAACCUGGGGGCUCCCAUAAACUGACCUGCUCUGUGACUGGAUUUGAUCCUGGCAGUUACUGGAUGUACUGGAUCAGACAGAAAUCUGGAGGUGGACUGGAAUGGCUUGUUAGCUACUUAACAGCUACAAGCAACAAUGCUUAUUCUUCUACCAUCCAAGGGCGAUUCACAGCUUCAAAAGACAGCUCCAACUUCUAUCUACAAAUGGCCAAUCUCAAGGUGGAGGACUCAGCGGUGUAUUACUGUGCAAGAGACACAGUGAAAGGAAUCCAAGGGACUUCAGCCAAAAACCUUUCACUGUGUCAGCUUUACAGAGAAGUGAACAGAGAGGGGCACCAGAAAGCCACAAACCAGAAGUGGUGA